ensembl:snRNA Gm25798 predicted gene, 25798
GUGCUUGCUUCGGGAGCACAUAUACUAAAAUUAGAAUGAUACAGAGAACAUUAGCAUGGCCCCUGUGCAAGGAUGACACCCAAAUUCGUGAAGCAUUCCAUAUUUUU